AGACUUGCAGUCCUUCUCCACAGCUGUGUUCUUUGCCGAUCGCAGAUUGCAGUCCUUUGUGAUUCCAGGAUAAAUCCAUUUUGCUGGUAAAAUAACUGGCUGUUUCCUUGUUUUAGGUUAGCAACCCCCUCCCAAGGCCAAGGCCACACCUGCUUCAAAGCAGGCUUGAAGAGCAGACUGGAAGCCUCCUAUGACGGAAGCUAGGUUCUUUGGGACUCAGUGACCUCUGUGCUGAGUGGAUACUCCUUCAGAAAGGCUUUUCCUUUGUUCUUCCAGAGACCCAGCGCCUCGUCUGUUUCCCUACGUGUGGCUCUAGGUGGCCUGAAAAAAGCAAGUUAUCCUGACGGCAUCUUCAGCUGCACGACUUGCUGACCAGCCCCGUGCUCGGCCUGAGAGAGGGAACCUUAGUAGAGGAUGUACCGGGGCCAGAGCCGGAGAAGGACGUUUUGGACCCAUGGGCGCGCCUGUUCACAGACGCAGAGGCUCGGAGAGCCUGCGUGUCCAGGACGACGCGUAUCAGGAGAGGGGGUCCCUGGCUGUGUUCCCGCUCUGUCCUCCCUAUAGCUCCCCGCACACCCGGAUGUGGCCCCGUGGAGCCGGCCCCCGGGGGCCCGGCAGCUCUCAGAGCGUCUGAGAUGCUGGUCUCCCUGGAAGGCUGCUUCCUCUGCUCAAAGUGGCCCUCCGUUUCUCACUUUUCUGUUUCGAAGGCUGCAUACGAGUGUACCUUCGGCAUGCGUCUCUUUUGGAGAACCUGUCACCUUGAAAGUCGUGCUGCCCAUACAGCAACCCCCCCCCCCAGCAUGGGGAGGGGCCCUUCCCAAAGCCAGUGACCAAGAAAGAAUGCUUUUCUCGCUUGCUGAAGCCGAAGCCCUUCCCAGCCUGUGGGCUCUCACUCCCUCUGCCCCGGGUUCUGACGGCUUCUGGUGACCGGCAGCCCCGUCUGUCCCUUCACGCUCUCCCCGGUGGGACCGGGGGCCUCCACGGCCUGGGCCUGCUCGUCUCGGUCUGACCUCCGGAGGUCACCUCUCAGUCGCUCUCCUGAAACCACCUGCAGGUCUCCUGGCCUUGUGGCCUUGUGGGUGAUCUCAGGGCCCCCCAUUUCUGCUCCUCCCCAUGGACUGCUCCUGGGUCCUCUUCCAGAAAGCUCUCUGAGUCUCUGCAAGUGUUGGAGGCACUGUCUCAACCAGGACCCCCUUUCUCUCCUGCCUUCAGGGACUGUCCCCAGCUGCCAGCAUGCCCACUUUAUUUGCGCUCACACGGCCUCGAGCAGGUACCCCUGCCCUCUGGUCUCCAGAGAGUGACUGUUGGGAGCAAACGUUCUUGCCACGUCCUGGCUCCUUCCAACCCGUGCGUGUGCUGCCCAUCGCUUGGCCUUCUCCCUGGCCGUGCCGCGGCCCCCGCUCUGGAUCCCGGGCCGUUCUGCCUGCGUGAGGACCUCACCGCACCAGCGGGGCCCCACCUCCUGCCCCCGUCCGUCACCCCCCUGGCUCCCCAGUCCCAGCAGAUACAGGCUCCCAAGCCUUUACCUUCGCAGGGAGCUGCGCACGUGGGCCCUUGAGCUGUCUUUUCUGAACACCGCCCUCUCACAGCCAGAGAGGAGCCAGCACACUGGUGACGGCCUGCCCCCGCUCACUCCAACUCCUCAUCCCGCAGAAAGGCCCAUCACCCAGUCACUGAAAGUGCUCCCCAGCGGAUCACCCGAGGCCCGCCAGAUCCAAAUUUAGGAAUUCUCCAC
rnacentral:lncRNA from 1 species